rnacentral:rRNA from 1 species
GGACUACAGGGGUUUCUAAUCCUGUUUGCUCCCCACGCUUUCGUGCCUCAGUGUCAGGAAAGGCCCAGCCGAGCGUCUUCACCAUCGGCGUUCCAGUAGAUAUCUACGCAUUUCACCGCUCCACCUACUGUUCCCUCGGCGCCUACCUUCCUCAAGGCCCGCAGUAUGCCCCGCAGUUCCCCGGUUGAGCCGGGGGAUUUCACGGAGCACUUGCAGGCCCACCUACGCACCCUUUAAGCCCAGUAAUUCCGAUUAACGCUCGAGACCCCUGUCUUACCGCGGCUGCUGGCAC